CGCCUUGUGCCUGAAAGGGCGACGGUGUCGAGCCGGAGCGAGAAGUCAGCAGAGGCCGUAGUAGGGAGCGCCUUGGUGCGAACGAAGGGC
rnacentral:ncRNA from 1 species